UGGCUGGCUCUGUCUCCGUUCCUCAGGUGGUCCCAUUUGGAAUCCCUCUUCCAGGGAAGGCUAACCAUGAAGGAGACACAAAUGCUCUUGUAGAAAUGAAAUCAGGUCUGAGUAAGAGCCCUGAAUCCAGAUGGCACCACGUCUUGAAUGCAGACAUCUGCUGCCAGUGACUACACCCGCUUGCAUUGGAUGGGAGUCACCAAUAGCUCCACAGGUGCAGCCCCAAACCAACAUCUGCAUAAAGACACUGGACUUGCUGCUUUGUGUGAGUGCAGUGGCUAAGCAAACUGGCACUAGUCUAUAGAAACAUCUGGAGGUAUUGAUGCUGCAUCUGCUGAGGGAGCUGUACCAUAGUUUAAAAUGAAUUGUCAGCAGGAUCCAUGGAUUUGUGAUGGACAGGCACUAUGGCCUAACUAGCACCUGAAGCCCACGGCACAGACUUGAAGGAUCUCUUCUAUCUGCAGGGCUGAAUAAGCACAGCACUUUGUAAGAUCAAGUCCUCUUCUUAUUAGUGUUGUUGACAGUUUGCAGAUACCAUGUGAAAUGCAUUCUUUCUCUGCUUAAAAGGGCAAAGUAAUUUGUCAGGCCUGUGGCACAGGAAAUCUUCACCGUAAACACUGUGUGACUUGUGCAAGCAAGCUGCUUGAAACACAGAUGCUGAGGCUUCUUCCAUCAGUCACAGUAGGGUUAAUCAAAUCAAAGCACAACAUUCUUUUUCUCUGGAAAACUGAAGUCAUAGCCCUGUGUCCCUGUUAUAAAAGCAGAGAUGCCCUCCCUCAUGGGCUAUUCAAGGCCCAUACUCCCACAGAUCAUCCAUC